rnacentral:ncRNA from 1 species
GAGAACUGGCUUGUGGCAUCGAAGCAUUCAUAGCAACAUUGUUUUUGAUCCUUCGAUGUGGGCUCUCCCUAUCAUACUAAGGUAGAAUUCAGUAAGCGUUGGAUUGUUCACCCACUAAUAGGGAACGUGAGCUGGGUUUAGACCGUCGUGAGACAGGUU